rnacentral:rRNA from 1 species
AGCAGUCGCCGCGGUAAAACGUAGGUCCCGAGCGUUGUCCGGAUUUAUUGGGCGUAAAGCGAGCGCAGGCGGUUAGAUAAGUCUGAAGUUAAAGGCUGUGGCUUAACCAUAGUACGCUUUGGAAACUGUUUAACUUGAGUGCAAGAGGGGAGAGUGGAAUUCCAUGUGUAGCGGUGAAAUGCGUAGAUAUAUGGAGGAACACCGGUGGCGAAAGCGGCUCUCUGGCUUGUAACUGACGCUGAGGCUCGAAAGCGUGGGGAGCAAACAGGAUUAGAUACCCCGGUAGUCCCUGUCUCUUAUACA